CCUACGGGAGGCAGCAGUGGGGAAUAUUGGGCAAUGGGGGAAACCCUGACCCAGCGACGCCGCGUGAGGGAAGACGGCCUUCGGGUUGUAAACCUCUUUUGUACGGGAAGAAGGACGUGACGGUACCGUACGAAUAAGUCCCGGCUAACUACGUGCCAGCAGCCGCGGUAAUACGUAGGGGACGAGCGUUGUCCGGAAUUACUGGGCGUAGAGGGCGCGCAGGCUGUAUAUCAAGUCGGCUGUGAAAUGUCCGGGCUUAACCCGGGCAUGCGGUUGAAACUGAUGUACUGGAGUGCUGUAGAGGCAAGUGGAAUUCCCAGUGUAGCGGUGAAAUGCGUAGAUAUUGGGAAGAACACCGGUGGCGAAGGCGACUUGCUGGGCAGCAACUGACGCUGAGGCGCGAAAGCCAGGGGAGCGAACG
rnacentral:rRNA from 1 species